CUCAGAUUGAACGCUGGCGGCAGGCCUAACACAUGCAAGUCGAGCGGUAACAGAAAGUAGCUUGCUACUUUGCUGACGAGCGGCGGACGGGUGAGUAAUGCUUGGGAACAUGCCUUGAGGUGGGGGACAACAGUUGGAAACGACUGCUAAUACCGCAUAAUGUCUACGGACCAAAGGGGGCUUCGGCUCUCGCCUUUAGAUUGGCCCAAGUGGGAUUAGCUAGUUGGUGAGGUAAUGGCUCACCAAGGCGACGAUCCCUAGCUGGUUUGAGAGGAUGAUCAGCCACACUGGGACUGAGACACGGCCCAGACUCCUACGGGAGGCAGCAGUGGGGAAUAUUGCACAAUGGGCGCAAGCCUGAUGCAGCCAUGCCGCGUGUGUGAAGAAGGCCUUCGGGUUGUAAAGCACUUUCAGUCAGGAGGAAAGGUUAGUAGUUAAUACCUGCUAGCUGUGACGUUACUGACAGAAGAAGCACCGGCUAACUCCGUGCCAGCAGCCGCGGUAAUACGGAGGGUGCGAGCGUUAAUCGGAAUUACUGGGCGUAAAGCGUACGCAGGCGGUUUGUUAAGCGAGAUGUGAAAGCCCCGGGCUCAACCUGGGAACUGCAUUUCGAACUGGCAAACUAGAGUGUGAUAGAGGGUGGUAGAAUUUCAGGUGUAGCGGUGAAAUGCGUAGAGAUCUGAAGGAAUACCGAUGGCGAAGGCAGCCACCUGGGUCAACACUGACGCUCAUGUACGAAAGCGUGGGGAGCAAACGGGAUUAGAUACCCCGGUAGUCCACGCCGUAAACGAUGUCUACUAGAAGCUCGGAGCCUCGGUUCUGUUUUUCAAAGCUAACGCAUUAAGU
rnacentral:rRNA from 1 species